GACGAACGCUGGCGGCGUGCUUAACACAUGCAAGUCGAACGGAAAGGCCCUGCUUUUGUGCGGUGCUCGAGUGCCGAAGGCGUGUGUAACACGUGAGUAACCUGCCCUUGACUUUGGGGUAACUUCACGAAACUGGGGCUAAUAUCGGAUAGGAUCUCCUGCAGCAUGGUGGGCGUUGGAAAGUUUCGGCUGUUGUGGAUGGACUAGCGGCUUAUCAGCUUGUUGGUGGGGUAGUGGCUUACCCAGGCUUUGACGGGUAGCCGGCAUGAGAGCGGGAACGGGCACAAGGGUACUAAGAGACGGCCCAGACGCCUACGGGAGGCAGCAGGGGGAAAUAUGACACAGCAGGCGGAAGCCUGAGACAACGGCGUCGGGUUCGGGAUGACGUCCUGUUGGGUAAGAACCGCUGUCGCCUGAGACGAAGCGGGAGUGACGGUAAUGGAUAAAGAAGCACCGGCUAACUACGUG
rnacentral:rRNA from 1 species